rnacentral:rRNA from 1 species
UUUUGACCUCAGUUCAGACAAGGCUACCCGCCGAAUUUAAGCAUAUUACUAAGCGGAGGAAAAGAAAAUAACAAUGAUUCCCCUAGUAACGGCGAGCGAACCGGGAAGAGCCCAACUUGGAAAUCUGGAGGCUUGUCCUUCCGAAUUGUAGUCUAGAGUAGUGCCAUCUGCGGCUGGCCGGUCCCAAGUUCCCUGGAAAGGGACGUCAGAGAGGGUGAGAGCCCCGUCGAGGCCGGUUUAGUCGUUCCACGAUGCGCUUACAAGGAGUCGGGUUGUUUGGGAAUGCAGCCCUAAGCGGGAGGUAAAUUCCUCCUAAGGCUAAAUAUUGGCGAGAGACCGAUAGCGAACAAGUACCGCGAGGGAAAGAUGAAAAGACCUUUGAAAAGAGAGUUAAAAAGUACCUGAAAUUGUUGAGGGGGAAGCGAUUAAAACCAGCGGGUGCUCCCUAGGUAGGCUUUGCCACACGCUAGGGGCUGGUCAACGUGGGUUAGUCGGGGGGGACAUUACUCCUGACUGACCGAGGACUCGACGUUGGCGGAAUGGUUUUAAUCGGCCCGUCUAGAAACACGGACCAAGGAGUCUAA